GAUGAACGCUGGCGGCGUGCUUAACACAUGCAAGUCGAACGAUGAUGCCCAGCUUGCUGGGUGGAUUAGUGGCGAACGGGUGAGUAACACGUGAGUAACCUGCCCUUGACUCUGGGAUAAGCCUGGGAAACUGGGUCUAAUACCGGAUACGACCAUCUGGCGCAUGUCAUGGUGGUGGAAAGCUUUUGUGGUUUUGGAUGGACUCGCGGCCUAUCAGCUUGUUGGUGGGGUAAUGGCCUACCAAGGCGACGACGGGUAGCCGGCCUGAGAGGGUGACCGGCCACACUGGGACUGAGACACGGCCCAGACUCCUACGGGAGGCAGCAGUGGGGAAUAUUGCACAAUGGGCGCAAGCCUGAUGCAGCGACGCCGCGUGAGGGAUGACGGCCUUCGGGUUGUAAACCUCUUCCAGUAGGGAAGAAGCGAAAGUGACGGUACCUGCAGAAGAAGCGCCGGCUAACUACGUG
rnacentral:rRNA from 1 species